rnacentral:tRNA from 1 species
AAGUCCUCCCAGGCCCACCAGUUUAUCCAUUACUUUCAUAAGUGCUUUUAAAAAAUAAGUACUUCUAAAAAGAUUGCUUCUAAAAAGCUUAUCAAAAUUGGCAGGCUUAUUGCUUUUGUGUGAGUAAUCCAAAGUUAAAGCAAAUUAAUGGCAAAAAAACAGUUCAAAUGCUAAAUACUAAGGAGUCAAAAUUCCUUGCAAAGUGAUUUUUACAGCGUCCAUUUGGUUGAUAUAAAUUCCAAAUGCUCAUAGACGUCAAUGCCUAUAUGAAACUAUCGGUUCAAUCAUAUCGCUUUGAGUUAUAUAGAUUUUGUAAUCCCUCUUUUGAUCGUUUUAAACGCUUUAUCCUGAUUUAGGGGCCGUAGCUCAGCUGGGAGAGCACCUGCUUUGCAAGCAGGGGGUCGUCGGUUCGAUCCCGUCCGGCUCCACCAUAAGGUCAUCAUCAUUGUUGUAAGAACAGUUU